rnacentral:rRNA from 1 species
GAUGAACGCUGGCGGCGUGCCUAAUACAUGCAAGUCGAGCGAACAGACGAGGAGCUUGCUCCUCUGACGUUAGCGGCGGACGGGUGAGUAACACGUGGAUAACCUACCUAUAAGACUGGGAUAACUUCGGGAAACCGGAGCUAAUACCGGAUAAUAUAUUGAACCGCGUGGUUCAAUAGUGAAAGACGGUUUUGCUGUCACUUAUAGAUGGAUCCGCGCCGCAUUAGCUAGUUGGUAAGGUAACGGCUUACCAAGGCAACGAUGCGUAGCCGACCUGAGAGGGUGAUCGGCCACACUGGAACUGAGACACGGUCCAGACUCCUACGGGAGGCAGCAGUGGGGAAUCUUCCGCAAUGGGCGAAAGCCUGACGGAGCAACGCCGCGUGAGUGAUGAAGGUCUUCGGAUCGUAAAACUCUGUUAUUAGGGAAGAACAAAUGUGUAAGUAACUAUGCACGUCUUGACGGUACCUAAUCAGAAAGCCACGGCUAACUACGUG